CCUCAAUUCGUUCAUCUCAUCUCCAUCUCACGGUGUGUACCCUCAAUCCCCGGAUAGAACGAUCCCUAUUUGCUUAUACUACUAACGAUAUUUUCAGGGUUAAAUUGUGCGCUUGCUUUCAGGCGCAUCAGUACACAAAUUUGGAAAAAGGGUGUUAUAAAAAGGAAAAAUGUCAAUUUACUCAAAUUUUAGCUACUUUAACUCCAUUUACCUCAACAUCUUUCAAGAUUACCCACUUACCCAAUAAAUUACAUAUUUUUUGCCCUAAUAUUCAAUUAUGUUUUUUUUAAUGAUUGUUUUUUGUUUGUUUUUGAGACAAUUUUGCCCUCUCCCUUUGUCACAUAGAGAGAGAGAGAGACAGAGAGAGAGAGAGAGAGAGAGAAAACUCGUCGGAGACUUACGGGAAUCCGGUCACUAGACCUCGAAAUCUCGUCACUGGUCACCGGUAGCUAGAAGUCUUUAAAGAGCUCGUCGGAGACUUUUAUUGCCCCUGAUAAUUUUUUUUUGCCUCCCAAUAAAAAGGUUUUUUUGAAGGUCAAUAAAAACUUUUUAUUGAGAGGCAAUAAAAGUUUAUUGAGGGAAAGGGAGCAAAUUUCCCUAAAAUUAGAUAAAUAAAAUUUUGAUUGAGGAAGAAUAUGAGGAUAUUGCAUCAAUUCACAAUCUUUUAUUGGGGUGGGGGAAUAAAAGUUUAUCGAGUUUUAUAAUAAAAGUUAUAUAUACAAACUCCACGUACUACCACUUUUGUUUUAUAAUCACUACACACUAAAAAAUGAAAGGUUCAAUUACGUAUUUAGUUUUACAAGGUCCACGGAGAUCUCAUAAAAUUUUUAGGAGAUUUAUUGACUCUCAAUGCAAGUUUGUUGACCCUCAAUAAAUGUUGUUAUUGCCUUUUAAUAAAACUUUUAUUGACCAUAAUAAAAAAUUUAGUAACUCCCAAUAAAACUUUUAUCCAGAGUAAAAAAACUGAACAAAAUGUUAAGUAAUCUAAUUUAAUUGCAUAAUGCAAAUGGAGCUUUUUAGAACUGUCAUGCACACAAAGAAUAGUUCACUAGAGAUGAUCACUAUGAAUAAGGAUGAAAGAAUAUUCAAGAUGUCUUCUAUAUUCUUUUCUUUUUUUGUCUGAACUCAAGAUUAUUUCCAGCAAUUGCAUAACCAAACAAAAGGAACACAAAUACGUACAUAGGCGGUCAUCCAUUCCGGCAGGUGAAUAUCUGAAUUGGUAAAAUCCAAAUUUGAGUUUGUGUCCAACUGGUGUAGGUGGAGCUUGUAAAGAGAAAAACACCUUCCGACUUGCUUCUGCCGGAGGACAAGAAGAUCUCCACUAGGACAAUACUCCAUUACUAAACAAGAAAGAUUAUCUGAUGCAAACUGGGAACGAGAAAAGGAUAAUCCUAACCACUAACCAUUACCCACCACUCCAGCACCGCGCAACCUCCAUUGAAAUGACGUCGUUUCUGCACUUGCCAGCAACUUCCUUUCUUCCUUCUUCUCUCCGCGGAGCUUCCCUCACAGCUCGGCCCAAUCCCAGCUCGCCCUGUCCGACCCGGUUGAGUGUUAAAUGCAGGCAUGCACAGGCUAGUGUAAAGAGCGAGGAUUUUAAUUCUGGCGCCAUAGACGUUGCGGCUGACGUUAGGCUUGAACGGGUAAGCACAAAUUCACAGACCUUAUCCCGUCUGGAAUCGAAUU